rnacentral:rRNA from 1 species
GAUGAACGCUGGCGGCGUGCCUAAUACAUGCAAGUCGAGCGAACGGACGAGAAGCUUGCUUCUCUGAUGUUAGCGGCGGACGGGUGAGUAACACGCGGAUAACCUACCUAUAAGACUGGGAUAACUUCGGGAAACCGGAGCUAAUACCGGAUAAUAUUUUGAACCGCAUGGUUCAAAAGUGAAAGACGGUCUUGCUGUCACUUAUAGAUGGAUCCGCGCUGCAUUAGCUAGUUGGUAAGGUAACGGCUUACCAAGGCAACGAUGCAUAGCCGACCUGAGAGGGUGAUCGGCCACACUGGAACUGAGACACGGUCCAGACUCCUACGGGAGGCAGCAGUAGGGAAUCUUCCGCAAUGGGCGAAAGCCUGACGGAGCAACGCCGCGUGAGUGAUGAAGGUCUUCGGAUCGUAAAACUCUGUUAUUAGGGAAGAACAUAUGUGUAAGUAACUGUGCACAUCUUGACGGUACCUAAUCAGAAAGCCACGGCUAACUACGUGCCAGCAGCCGCGGUAAUACGUAGGUGGCAAGCGUUAUCCGGAAUUAUUGGGCGUAAAGCGCGCGUAGGCGGUUUUUUAAGUCUGAUGUGAAAGCCCACGGCUCAACCGUGGAGGGUCAUUGGAAACUGGAAAACUUGAGUGCAGAAGAGGAAAGUGGAAUUCCAUGUGUAGCGGUGAAAUGCGCAGAGAUAUGGAGGAACACCAGUGGCGAAGGCGACUUUCUGGUCUGUAACUGACGCUGAUGUGCGAAAGCGUGGGGAUCAAACAGGAUUAGAUACCCUGGUAGUCCACGCCGUAAACGAUGAGUGCUAAGUGUUAGGGGGUUUCCGCCCCUUAGUGCUGCAGCUAACGCAUUAAGCACUCCGCCUGGGGAGUACGACCGCAAGGUUGAAACUCAAAGGAAUUGACGGGGACCCGCACAAGCGGUGGAGCAUGUGGUUUAAUUCGAAGCAACGCGAAGAACCUUACCAAAUCUUGACAUCCUUUGACAACUCUAGAGAUAGAGCUUUCCCCUUCGGGGGACAAAGUGACAGGUGGUGCAUGGUUGUCGUCAGCUCGUGUCGUGAGAUGUUGGGUUAAGUCCCGCAACGAGCGCAACCCUUAAGCUUAGUUGCCAUCAUUAAGUUGGGCACUCUAAGUUGACUGCCGGUGACAAACCGGAGGAAGGUGGGGAUGACGUCAAAUCAUCAUGCCCCUUAUGAUUUGGGCUACACACGUGCUACAAUGGACAAUACAAAGGGCAGCGAAACCGCGAGGUCAAGCAAAUCCCAUAAAGUUGUUCUCAGUUCGGAUUGUAGUCUGCAACUCGACUACAUGAAGCUGGAAUCGCUAGUAAUCGUAGAUCAGCAUGCUACGGUGAAUACGUUCCCGGGUCU